AAAUUGUAUAAUUUAAAAUCUUUCAACUUUUUUGAGAUCAUUUAUUAUUGACAUAGAUAUAAUUUCGUAGUAUCAUUAUUGUGAUUAUUAUCAUUAACUUUUUCAGGAACAUUGUUUCCAGAAAUAGAUGCAAGUAUUCAGAAAAGAUUUACGUGUGAGAUGGGUGGAGUUCGGUUCUGUUUAGCUCAUUGCCUGGCUCUUGGUUACAGGGGUGCUUGGUGUGACAGCAGGAAUGUUUGUCAUUGUAGAUAAGUGCUCAAGGAGAAUGCGAGAAGUUAUUCUUUGUGAAGCACAGUUGAAUAAAACGUGAAUAAAAAUAUCAAUUUCA